rnacentral:rRNA from 1 species
GACGAACGCUGGCGGCGUGCUUAACACAUGCAAGUCGAACGGAAAGGCCCUGCUUUUGUGGGGUGCUCGAGUGGCGAACGGGUGAGUAACACGUGAGUAACCUGCCCUUGACUUUGGGAUAACUUCAGGAAACUGGGGCUAAUACCGUAUAGGAUCUCCUGCUGCAUGGUGGGGGUUGGAAAGUUUCGGCGGUUGGGGAUGGACUCGCGGCUUAUCAGCUUGUUGGUGGGGUAGUGGCUUACCCAGGCUUUGACGGGUAGCCGGCCUGAGAGGGUGAACGGCCACAAUGGGACUGAGAUACGGCCCAGACUCCUACGGGAGGCAGCAGGGGGGAAUAUUGCACAAUGGGCGGAAGCCUGAUGCAGCGACGCCGCGUGCGGGAUGACGGCCUUCGGGUUGUAAACCGCUUUCGCCUGUGACGAAGCGUGAGUGACGGUAAUGGGUAAAGAAGCACCGGCUAACUACGUG